rnacentral:rRNA from 1 species
CGGACGGGUGAGUAAUGUCUGGGAAACUGCCUGAUGGAGGGGGAUAACUACUGGAAACGGUAGCUAAUACCGCAUAACGUCGCAAGACCAAAGAGGGGACCUUCGGGCCUCUUGCCAUCGGAUGUGCCCAGAUGGGAUUAGCUAGUAGGUGGGGUAACGGCUCACCUAGGCGACGAUCCCUAGCUGGUCUGAGGGGAUGACCAGCCACACUGGAACUGAGACACGGUCCAG